rnacentral:snRNA from 1 species
UGCUUUGCGCAGUGACAGUAUCAUAGUCUGUGAGGUUCAACUGAGGCGUGAUUAUUGCUAAAUGAAACUUUUCCAGGACCAAUGAAGACCUGAAGAUUUUCAGUGCACUACAAAUUACCCCUUGUUAGAGCUGUGGACUCACAUGGAGUUUAUUUACAUAA